GUGUCAGCAGCCGCGGUAAUACGUAGGGUGCAAGCGUUAAUCGGAAUUACUGGGCGUAAAGCGUACGCAGGCGGCUUUGCAAGACAGGUGUGAAAUCCCCGGGCCUAACCUGGGAACUGCAUUUGUGACUGCAUAGCUAGAGUUUGUCAGAGGGGGGUGGAAUUCCACGUGUAGCAGUGAAAUGCGUAGAUAUGUGGAGGAACACCGAUGGCGAAGGCAGCCCCCUGGGAUGUGACUGACGCUCAUGUACGAAAGCGUGGGGAGCAAACAGGAUUAGAAACCCGGGUAGUCC
rnacentral:rRNA from 1 species